rnacentral:rRNA from 1 species
UACGUAGGCAGCAAGCGUUGUUCGGAGUUACUGGGCGUAAAGGGUGUGUAGGCGGUUAUUUAAGUUUGGUGUGAAAUCUCCCGGCUCAACCGGGAGGGUGCGCCGAAUACUGAAUGACUUGGAGUGCGGGAGAGGAAAGUGGAAUUCCCAGUGUAGAGGUGAAAUGCGUAGAUAUCGGGAGGAACACCAGUGGCGAAGGCGACUUCCUGGCCUGUUCUUGACGCUGAGGCGCGAAAGCUAGGGGAGCAAACGGG